UUCGAAAGAAGUGCCUAUUUCUAAAGAGUUCCUUUUCUCUUCUAAAAUAUAAGCCAUUUAACAAUGUGAGACAUGUCUUUUGUGAUUAUUGGUAAUAUCCUGUAUGUGUCUGGAGUACUUUGAUGCCUUGGAUUGGAAGCUAACUUAAAAGAUGAACUUUUGAGGGUGUGUUUUCUAUUGUGUGGGGCUUUUGUCGAAAUUAGGAUUCCGAAACACGUUUUUCUACGGUGGGUUCAUUCGACAUCGAUUUACCUUCUUAGAAGUUGCGAGACGGUAUGUUUUUGAUUGCAGUUAUUGGAAGAGGACAGAUCCAUCUUUAAAAUGAUACCAGGUUCGGAAAAAUUGAUACGUCGAAAAGGCAAGAAAAAUGCUGGGAAAGUUGUCAGUUUUAUAAUGGGACCCUAUGGGAAUCGGAGUUAGUGUAAUAUAACCUCCAGUCGAGUCGAAGGUUAGCCGCCAUUUUGCUUACACUCGCAUUGCAUAUAGUUUACAAUCAGAAACAAUCUUUACGUUCGAUUAUUGGAAUGUUGAAGCGUUAUGAUGGAAUAAAAAUCGAUUAAUGUAAUGAUGGGGACCCAGAACUACCCUGGACUUUACUGUCAAGCACUGGGCAUCACAGUUUCAAUUCUGCGCAGCAAACCUGACAACUUCCAGAAACUAACACUCACUAAUGGAGCAGUUUUAGAAAUAUGGCAGAUUGCAAAGAAUAAAAAUAUUCACAGCAGUGAACUUGUCGGUUUGUUGGCUUUCUUGUAUGAAGCAUUAAUAAACUGUAAGGAACAUGCAGUUACUAUGAAAAGUCAGCGUCUGUCUGAACACAAAAAGAAACUGCAACAUAAAAACAACUAAAAUGUGCAAAAACUCUGCCAGAGUUGUUGAAACAAGAAUUCACAGACAUUAAACAUUUUGAACAAAUGGUGCCUGCCAAAACAUGCAGUAAUGUUCCCAAUGAAAACGUUGAUUUGACUGUGUGCAAAACCAUGACUGAAAUUUCAUGGCCUACUUCCCCGCCGCCUAGUUGAGUAGUUCAUCUGAAACAUUCCUAAAUCAAGAAAAAAAACAGUCAGUGUCUUGUCAAACAAAUUUCGAGUGUGAUGAUGAUUCGGACAAUACAAAAUGUUAUAAAAUGACAAUAUAUUUGUGUGCUGAGCAAAACAAGAAUUUAAAUAAACUAAACAAGAACAUCAACUUAGCUAAGUGCAAAAUUGCAGAAUUGGAAAAAAGACGCGGACAUUAUUCCAUAAAGAAUAUUAAUAAAAGAGACGAAAUUGCCCGCACAAAUUUGAAAAAACUUCGCGCAAUAUAAACAAACGCAACUCUAAAUGAAAUAUGGUCAGAAUGUUUAUCUUGAUAAUAUUUGAUUUUGGAUCGUAUAUGGGUCAUCUGGGGUGAAAAAUUAGGUCACCUGGCCAAUUCUAGUAAAACCUUGUGUAGAUGAAAAGGGUCACAGUUUUCAUCAUGUCUUAAUGAAAUUUUGUCAAUGUAUUAAUUAAUGAAAUCUGGCUAAGCAUUGUAUUUGGAUCUGAUAGAAUUAAAGUUAAUGAAGUAAGGUUAGUCAGGUGAGCGAUUCAGGGCCAUCAUGGCCCUCUUGUUUAAUUAUUCAUCACAUCUUAAAAAAUACAAAAUUAAAUGCUUUAUUUGAGAUCAAUAUUUUGAAACAUGUUGUCUGUAAUAAAAGCAGAUAUUUUUAUAUAAAAUGUAUCUCAAUGUAUGCAAUUCUUUACAUUCAAAAUUAUUUUAUAAAGAAACGAGAUUUUCCGUGUCCAACUUUCGCAGGGAGACAACUCGCGCACAGCAAUAAUACCGUUGAUAUCACUAAUAGUAACGAUUCGUUUGGCAGGUCACGAGUGUGUGUUUUAUAUCAUUAAUCACAUCAUAAAAAAUUCAAAAAAUUAAAUGUUUUAUUCGGGAUGAAUGUUUUGCAACUUGUUAUCUGUGAUAUAAGCAGUUAUCUCUAUAUAAAAUGUAUCUCAAUAUGUGAGAUGCUUCACAAUAAAAAUGAAUUUUGUAUAAAGAAGCGAAAUUAUCCGUGUCCAUUUUUCGCAGGGAGACAACUCGCGCACAACAAUAAUGCGGUACAUAUUAUUAAUAGUUACUGAUAAAUAUUUAUGAAAUUUA